rnacentral:miRNA from 1 species
AUGCUGUGAGGCUUUGAAGGCAGGCAUUAACUUCUCCCUAGCUAUGAAAGUCCUAGAUGGCAUCUUCUUCCAAUAUAAAGCUGUUUUGUCUACACUGGAUAUCUAUU